ensembl:snRNA U4 U4 spliceosomal RNA
AGCUUUGCGCAGUGGCAGUAUCAUAGCCAAUGAGGUUUAUCCAAGGCGCGAUUAUUGCUAAUUGAAAAUUUCUGAUAGCCCAAAUUUUUAAAGAUGAAAAGGAACA